UAUCAAAAUGCAAUACAUGAAAUUGAUAUAAUGAGCAAUAAUUCAGACACAGAACCUGACAUAGAAUACGUCUCAUCAAAAAAACAGCGCAAUUGCUCUGAUCUUCCACAGCUGUCAUAUGAUAAUAUGGCAGAAGAAAUUUUAAAGAAUAAUGAGCAUAAUGCUUCUUCAGCAAUAAUACCUGAAGAUGGAGAACAAAUAAUGGUGACUAAUUACGAAAUCACGACACCGAAAGAGUCAACUCCAUCUGAAACACCGUUGAGCGCGCCGCAAGAAAAUAUUGAAAAAUACAUUGUUAUUCCUGAAAGUAAUCAGUCGGACACACCUAUAAUAUACUCGUACAUUAAUAAAGAAACAAGUUUAUCAGAAGAACAAUGCGAAUUAAAAUCCAUGAAAAUAGAUAUCACCACUAUUAAAAGUGACCUAAAAUCCAUAAAUGACGAUAUGAAGACUAUAAUGGGGACCCUAAACACAACACUAAAUAAUCAAGCCGUAUUACACGAAACACUGAAAUCGAUUUUAUUACAAGUGACUGAAAUACAAGUUACGAACGAAGAAUUCAUUAAAAAAUCUAUUACAGAAAAACAAAACCAUUCGUUGAUGUUAAAACCAAUACAAGAUUUAAAAGAUUUAGAAGAGUUUGAAAAUAAAUUGAUGGAUUCUGAUUAUAGAGAAGAUUUACUAAGAAAGUUUAGUGUGUUUGGCACUAAAGGGACAGGGAAGGGAAUCACAAGAGCAUAUACAAUUAUUGAUAUUUUGUUUGAAAGAAAGUUUUUCAAAUCGUGUUCGUGGACUGGAGCUUCACGUUCCCAAAAUGAAACAACA